GAGACCUCAGGUCAGGCGGGGCUACC
rnacentral:ncRNA from 3 species